rnacentral:tRNA from 1 species
GCGUCGGUGGCAAAGUGGCUAAUGCAGUCCCCUGCAGAGGGACGGAUCGGGGGUUCGAGUCCCUCCCGGCGCU